CUUGCAGCUUAACAUCUGAUAAACCUCCUGCCGAUUCCCAGAAUGUUCAUGAUGGCAGUGGGCAAAGGACAGUGACUAUCAGACCGAAAAAGCAUAGAGUCCAUGGGGCUGGUGUUCAUGCCGACCUGAUCCAUCCUAUAUUUAAUGACAGCUCAAUGUGGACACUGAGUACUGUUCGAGGGACUGACAGCUUCAGGUUGAGAUCCGAUAUCCGUCCUCCCAGGACCUGGGAGAUUCGCGUUUUGGGUUUGUUGGAAGAGCAUGGACUCUGUCUUGCUAAAGACAAGCUUUUCAGUUUGGACCGAGGCCAUUUCGAUGACUCCACCGAGAGCAGGAAGUGAAGCAGUUUCUGCGAGGACAAACUCAGAUAUCG